UACUAACAUAGUUUUUGUGGAGACAAGGGCAAAGGGAUUAAGCAAAAUAAACUGUGUUAUAUGUAUGGUUAACUGAUUAUUUGUAUUGAUCCUUAGAGCAUUCGUGUUCAGCAGAAGUGUAGUACAUUACUACUGUUGAUUGCACUGUUUUAUCAGUGGGUGGGAAUAAAAAGCAGGUAAAUCUUACAGCUGCCUUGCUGUUCCCAGCUGAGCAUCUCCUCCCUGGUGGCUGGUGAGAUUGGGGUGUGGAGUGGAAGUGAAACGCAAUGACAGGGUUUUUGCCUGAUUGAUGGUCGUCCUCACUGAUGGAGAAGGAUGUCCAGCAGAUUUUAGAGAAGCUUCAGAGAGAUGGGACUGGAGAACGCCUAUGUUAUCGUCAGCUGGCCACUGCACGAAUUUCCACUCCAGUGAGUUCUGCCCACGACACAUUACUCUUGGUUUAUAUUAACAAGGAGGUUAAGAUGCAGCUUUGUAUUAGCUUUAUAAGUGAUGUGUAAACAUACUAUAUAAUCAAUAUUGAUGUUGCCUUUCCAAUUAUUGGACAUCAUUCCUAAUCCUUUAUUUACUGUGUUAUAAGUUGUAUUAUAUUUGUUUAAAAAAAAAAUAAAUCCAGAACAUGAUAUGGUCA
rnacentral:lncRNA from 1 species